AAAGUUUGAACAAUGUUCUUAAGGAUGCGCAUGAACUACCUGUUAUUGGCCUUCCUGAAUUUAUUCAAAGUUUGAUUCAACGAUGGUUUUAUGAACGUCGUAGUAAUUCUAGUUUCCAACGUUCAAAAUUAACCUCUUAUGCAGAAGGUGUGAUACGAGAGGCAUUAAGGGAUAGUAGGUCAAUGGAUGUGUGUAGUUUACUCGUUGUGUAUAUACUUAAUUAAUCUCUCAUACUUAUAUCUCACUAGUUUAAAUUUUUGGUAUUUUCAUUACAAAGAUAUCCCAUUAACCAACAUGAGUUUGAAGUUCAUAAUGGUACCAAAUAAUAUUUGGUCAACAUUCUCACUCGAAAUUGUUCCGGUUGUCGUUGGGAUCUUGAUGAUAUACCAUUUUCUCAUGCUUGUAGUGCCUUAUCUUUUCAAAGCCUUGGAUUGGAAUCAUAUACACAUAAUUUUUAUCACGUUUCCAAUUCAAAUUUAUUAUAUAGCAAGGAGACCCGACCAAUUGGUAAUGUGCAACAAAUUUCCAAUCUAUAUAGUUCGAAUGAUGACCCUAUACGUCCUCCUCAAGUGAAACGUCCAUCUGGAAUACCAAGAAAAAAGAUGAUCAACUCUUGCUUAGAGAAUAAGAAGACAAUACGAUGUUCUCAUUGUGGGGGUAGUGGUCAUAAUUCAAGAGCAUAUACAAAUCUAAUACCUCAUUGAGUUUGAUUAGUAUUAUUGUUAUUAUUUUUUGCACUUCUAGCUAUUGUUAUUUGUUUGGAACAUUUACUUAAGUAUUUUUUUUCACUUUUAGCUAUUAUUAUUGUUUUGGAACAUUUAUUAAGUACUUAUGAAAAAAAUUCUCAUGGAUCUUAUUAUGUUGAUUAUAUAUAUAUACUUGAAUUUUUAUUGAUGAUAUAUGUUUGCGAUAAUAAUUACACUGUAAUUGUGUGUUUACUUUUGUGUACUUUUGGAUAACAACGGUUGUUUCAAUGUUAUUUUUUCACGCCUAAUUUGUUUAUAAACAUUUGUUAUUAAUCUCAAAUUAAUUUAUAGUAGAAAGAUAACAUUGUGUACAUAAAUGAAAGUUUAAUUAGUGAUAUACCAUUAAUUGAUACCAAUGGUUCAAAGGAAUUAAAAUUAAUUCUUUUUUACAUUAAUUGGAUUCAAAGAUUUUAAAGAUAAAAUUGUUCAUUUGACUUAAUAACAUUAAUUAAAUUAUAAUUUUCAUCACUAUUUGUUUGACGUGUUAAACUACUAACUAACAUGAUUUCAAAAGUAUGUAUUUCCGAAUCAGUAUAUCCAUUUCCAAAAAAACUACAUAAAAAAGGAACAAGUUAUGUGAUAUGAUAAAGAAAUAAAACACUCAUACAGGAAGAAGAAGAGAUCAAUGUUUUCAAUUUCAAUCCAACCUCAUCAUAAAGAAAAUAUGUAUUUACUGAUCACAUCCCUUUAUGCUAGACUCAUGUGAAGAUCAAACGAUGAUGCAUUCAUGUCUACAUUUUCUUUCAAAUCUUCAAGCAACUUUUCUCUCAACGCAUCGAUCCAUAUAACUCCCAUUGAUGUGUUAGGUACUUUAUAUAAUUGUUCUGAUUUGUUAGCUUCAAGUUGUUCCUUUUGUUUUCUCAUACUCUUUAUUUCUUCUACAGUUGUACCUAACUAUUAAAAAACAAAAAAAAAAUCUUAGUACAAGUUUUAAAUUAUGUGAAGUGCAUCAAAAACUUAUAAUUAUGCUUUAAACUAUUUAGACUUACAUGUCAUAGGAUGAUUUGCGUUGACUUCAAGCUAAUGUCAACCAUACCCAAUUUUCUAUUGAUCCUUUUCUUUGAUUUGUUCGGUCUGUUGCCCCUAUUUUGGUGAAGUCCACCGACUUUAUAUUUUACUUGUCCAACGAUUGAAUCCUAAUAGUCAAUAAAUUAAAAAAAAAAUUACUAGGUAUACAUUCAUUAACUACUUCAAUAAUACAUUCAUUCAUUAGAAUCAAGAAAACUUACCUACAUUCCCAAUAGUGUUGGAUGUUGCUUGUUUCGACAAACUUUCAUAUAUCUCCUCCUCAUUAAUUGAGUUUAUGACAUUGUCAAUUAUAUCAUCUGGAUCUUCGACAUUCUAUUUCAUGACAUAAGAUUAUCAAAUAUCAUCGACUAACAAGAUCAUGUUGUAUUUUAUUACCUCGUGGCUUGUGUUUCUUCCGCCCUCUCUUUUUUAUUCUUUGUCUUCAUUAGGUUGUUCUAUUUACUGGUUCAUUAGAUUAGAAGUUGCUAUCUAGUGUUGUUUAUUUUCAUCCCCUUCAUUUUCUUCACAUAUUUUUUUGGUUGAAAUUUGUCCACCCCACAAUAUGUAUCAGCAUCUAGAUUUUUUUUCAUUCUUGUCUUUUUCUUCUUUUAUACUAUCAAGCCUCCUUUAAAUUUCAGUAACCGCCUGUUUAGAUUAUUUCAAAGGCAAUAGUAUAUAAAUAUCUUUAUUGAGUAAUAUAUGUAAUAGAACAUGUAAUUAAAAUGUUAUUAUACUACAUACCAUAAAUUGUUGGCCGUUAACCUGUUCCUUUACAUGUCAUUCUAUUUUUUCCAUCUUAUUCACCAUUAGAUUCAUUUUCUCCAUCAAUAGUUCCAUUUUCUCUUUCAAUAAGGCUUGAGUCCUCAUCAGAACACGUUGGUUUUUAUUCAACAUUUUAUUUAUCGCUUGAUUUUUGUCUAUUCUUGCUAGCAUUUCCAAUACAAGAUCAUUGUCAACUAUGUAGUGUCCCCCCUCUAUUAAUUGGUAGGUCCACUACAUUUGACUCUAAUAUACUUUUCUGAAGUUCUGCUUCAACUUCAAUGAUGAUUUUUUUUUCUUCUUCCAAGAAUGGUUCAAACCAUGGCAUUGUCAUUUCUUCUUUUGUUGCUAGAAGUGGAUAUAUUUCAAGCUAUAGGAUAACAAACAUACAAAAAAUUCAGAUUAUUGUGUACUAUUUAAAGGAUGUUGAUUAUUAAAAAAAAAUUGUCGUGUAGUACUUAAAAGAUAUAACCUUGGGUGAUUGAAAUACUUUCUUCUGCAAGUCCGUCCAUUUUGGUUGGCUAUCAGUUGCCCAAUUUAUUAUUCUUGGGAUCUUCAUUCAGACUCUUUUUGCAAAACAGUUUUGUCGUGAGGUCAAAGUGAGGAUUACUUCAUAAGCCUAUGCAACGAUUGGAAAGACAAAAUCGCCCAAUAUCAUGCCUGUAGCACCCUUGCUAGAUGUUGCUUUGUACAUUGCAUCAACUAAAAGGUCAAAGGCUAACCUACCCAAGGAUAUGUUCUAAAAAGUUCUUCAUCAUCAACCAUCAACACAUGGUCAAUGUCUACAUAUACACUAUCCUGUUUAGGUAAAAGGAAACUCUUCAAAAACUAUAAUUGAGUCAUUUUUAACCUAUCACUAUCAGUCAACCUUGAACCCUACAUUGAUAUAUAUCCUCAUUAGUUUGCUUUCUCCAUCAAAAUACAUGUCUUUUAUAUAACCCCCCUCCCCCCUCUCAAUAUCAUCUUUGGUUAUCUUUGGUAAAGGUCCACAAUUAGGCCCCGUUAUUAAAGCAAAUUCUCUAAGACCGAAUCUUAUGACUCUUCCUCCUAUUAAGAAGUUUAAUUCUUUGGAAGAUUUUGAUUUGUAUUGUUUUUGUAUCAGAUGCAUCAAUAAUUGUGAGGAUUGAUUGGUAAUCGCAAAGUCAAGGAAGUGUCCAAAAGGUGUUUCCCUAAAUUUUUCUAAGAGAUUAUCACCUAGUUUUUUCUUAAUUUUUUCAAUUACUUCUAACUUAGUUUCAAGGUUUAUUCUCAAUAGUCCAUUUCGCUUUUGGAUUGGCAUAAGGUAUAAUCCAUCCUAAGACAAUAAAAAUACAUAAUGAAUAUGCAACCAGUCACAACACAAAUAUAUGCACUUCAAAUAAUUAAUCUAUAAUUAUGCGACCAGUUACAACACAAACAAAUUUGGUAUGCAACUAGUCACAACACAAAUAUAUGCAGUUCUUCUAUUUAUACAGCCAGUCACAAAAAAAUAUAUGCAAUUCAAUAAUAAUCUAUAAUUAUGCAGUUAUUCACAACAUAAAAACAUAUUCAGUUUUUUAUUUAGCCAACACAAAUACAUGCAGUAAAGAAUAAUUAAUCUACAAUUAUUUAGCCAAGAAAUAUAUAAAGAAGGCAUUUGUAUGUAUUACAAACCUCACUUCUUUCUCCAGUACUAACAACUUUUUCUGAAGCAUGUUUAGUCUUCCUUGAUCUUGCCUUCAAGGUUGAACAUUGUAUUAACUUUUACACACAUCCAUUUUAUAAAGAAUAAAAAGAAACGCUACCUUUUUUUUCUUCAACAAUUGGUGUCUUAGGUUGUUUUGAAGUAAUUUCUUCGUGGCUUUCUGAGUACUGUUCACAAAUCUCUUCUCUUUCUUUUUGUUCUUUCUCUUAUGUAUUAUCUUCAAUAUAUUCAACCUUGUUACUGCGAUCCUGCAUUUUAAAUAAUUUCAUUUAAAUUAUAUUAUACUGAAAAUAUUGAUAGAACUAAGACAUGCAAAAAAGAAUCGAAUUUCUACCCUAAUUGUCACAAUUAACAAGUAACCCUAAACUAAUCAAAUUAGGGUUUUAGGAAAUAUUACCUUUGAAGCUUUCAAAAACUUUGAUACCUCCUUAGCAAUUCAAACCGAGACGACCACUAGUGCUCAACUACUAUCCUCCGGACAAAGACCCGGGUUGUGGGACCCAAUUUGAUGUAGAAAGUAAUGGAGAUAAAAGAAACUUGGAAGGUAGAAGUUUUUUUUUCUUGGUUGAGAUAUUGGAGUAUAUUAAAAAAGGCAAAAGUUUUCAACCAUUUGAAAACUCCCCUAUUUAUAACCUAAUUAUCUGCAAAAAUGCAUGUAAUUAAUUUGCCAAAUCUCAACACUUAAUGUUCCACUAACAAUUAGUGGAACUUAGUGGACUAGGUGUCUAUAUCUCAUAUAGCCACAUAUCCCACUAAGAGUUAGUG
rnacentral:lncRNA from 1 species